AUGCAUUUGCCUCAGACCAACGAAGCCUCCUUUCAAAAACAAUUAAUUCAGUUUCAUUGGCUCAGGGUCUUUCCCUUCCCACCCAGAGAAAGCGGGCUUGAGUCUCCCUCUGAAAAGCUCCUGCGGGACCAACCUCUGCAGAUCCCACCUUGGGGGGGCCAGCUGUCUGCCCGCAGUAGGACAAACGAGGUCACUAGAACUUGCGAGGAGCAUCCAGGUGUCUCUGUCCGCACCUGCCAGGUGGGAGGCAGAGGCAAGUGCGCGGGCCUGGGAAGCAUGGCAGGUGCCCUGGCUCCUCACUCCCACGGCCCAUCGCCCAUCGGGCUGCUUUCCAUGCCACCCCCACCCUGGGGUGGCUCUGAGACACCCCCCACACACACACACAAGGCAAUAAAUAGGAAGCCCUCCUGCCCCGGCAGCUUCAUGCCACCAACAGACACUGUUCCAGCAGGUGCUGCUCCGAGUUCAGGGAGCGCCAACCACCAAGCCGAGGUUGCAGGAAGGGGGAGGGAAGGGGAGACGAGGGAGGGCAGGGCAGGGCAGGGCAGGGGAGGGGAUGGGGGGCCUCCAGCUGCCGGCCUCCCGGGAGAACAAUGCAUCUGUCACCCGGUGAGUAAUGGAGCAGCCGGGGCUGAAAGGGAGGCACAUGUCUGUCCGGUCUUCCCACCAGGCCGCCCAGGGCACCCCCUGCUGCUCUCAGGCAAAGAGCCAGCAGCAGGGCCUUGGAUGGUUCUCCACGAUGAGGACGGGCAAGAACCAACAGAAGAGGAAGGGCCGGGGCGGGCUCCCGCCCCAGGAAGCCCAGGGGACGAAUGCACCUGCAAUUUCCCUGCACUGCUGCACGCCUGGGGUCCCCGGCCCCCUCCACCUGCCCAGGGCACCUCUUCCGGGACGGGAUGCACCCUCCAGCCACCAUCGGGAAGUUUGCUCUGGGUGACCCUGCCUGAUGAUGGCUCGGGAGCCCUGCUAACUGUGCCUCUUCCGGGCCGUGGCCCUAACCUGUGGGGGUUCAGACCCUGCCCCUACCCUGGGCUCUGA
rnacentral:lncRNA from 1 species